AUUGAACGCUGGCGGCAGGCCUAACACAUGCAAGUCGAGCGAGCGGCAGACGUGUGAGUAAUGUAUGGGGCCGGCCCGCUAGAUGGGAUUAACUUCUGGAAACGGGGGUUAAUACCGCUAUCUAACGGAUAACCCAUAGGGGAUUAGCUAGUAGGUGGGGUAAAGGCUCAACUAAGCGACGAUGUCUGGCUGGUCUGAGAGGAUGAUCAGCUGACCUGGGACUGAGACACGGCGCAGACGCCUAGGGAGUACGCGGUGGAGAAUAUUGCACAAUGGGAUAAAGCCUGAGGCAGCGAUGCCGCGUGUCUGCAGAAGGCAUUAGGGUUUUAGAGUACUUUACGCGGUGCGGGGUUACCCGCAGAAGAAGCGCCGGCUAACUCCGUGCCAGCAGCCGCGGUAAUAC
rnacentral:rRNA from 1 species